UACUCCAAAAACUCCUCUCAUUUCCGUCUCCGUCAGAGAGAGAUUUCAGACUCCCCCCGAACUCCGACUCUCUCUCUCUCUCUCUCUCUCUCUACGCCUGCAAUGCGUACAGCUCUCUUCUCUGUCCUGGUUCUCGAUCUCCUCUGCUUUCUCUCUCUACCAUAUCGCUCCUUCUCUCUCGUAGCCGCUGAUUAUUCGAACCCUCUCUUGGACGCCAAUGUCACCGCCGCAGAAUCCAACACCUCGAGAUCUAAGGAAGAUAGCUUCGCCGACAUCAUCGAUCGGGCUCUAGAAAAGGAGUUCACCGAGAACGACGACCAGUCUCAAGCUACUGAUCCUGGGAGCUUCAACAACAGUGUGGCUGAUCAACAGGCGGUUUUGGAAACUGUUGCUAGAGUUAAGUCCAAGAAAAAUGAGACCAAGGAGGAGAAGUCAUUUCAACUUCAUGAUGUUUUCAAUUUGGAUAAUGAGAAUCGAGCAGAAGAUAUGCCAACAUUGAUAGAUCGGAAGGAUAAUGUCUUUAUCAUAUCAAAUCUCAAGUCAAAGUAUCCAGUGCUACAGUUAGACUUAAGGUUAAUAUCUGAUCUUGUAGUCGUCAUUGUUUCUGCAACAUGUGGUGGUAUUGCGUUUGCUUGUGCCGGACAACCGGUUAUUACUGGAUAUUUGCUAGCUGGAUCUGUUAUUGGACCUGGGGGCUUUAGUUUUGUUAGUGAAAUGGUGCAAGUCGAAACAGUAGCUCAGUUUGGUGUGAUUUUUCUUCUUUUUGCAUUGGGUCUGGAGUUCUCUGCAGCAAAGCUUCGUGUUGUCCGAGCAGUUGCUAUUUUAGGAGGCUUGCUUCAGAUAUUCUUGUAUAUGUGCUUGUGUGGAAUAACAGCAUCGUUAUGUGGUGGUGAAGUGUCUGAAGGGGUAUUUAUUGGUGCAUUCUUGUCUAUGUCAUCAACAGCAGUUGUUUUGAAGUUUUUGAUGGAAAGAAAUAGUAUUAAUGCCCUUCAUGGACAGAUUACAAUUGGUACCCUUAUUUUGCAGGACUGUGCUGUGGGUUUGCUGUUUGCUCUUCUUCCAGUCCUGGGCGGUACUUCUGGUGUUAUCCAAGGAGUCAUAUCCAUGACAAAAUCGCUGGUGAUUUUGAUUACGUUUUUGGCCAUUUUGACAAUACUAUCUCGUACUUGUGUACCUUGGUUUCUCAAGCUGAUGAUUAGCCUAUCAUCACAGACCAAUGAACUUUAUCAAUUGGCAGCAGUGGCCUUCUGUUUACUAGUUGCUUGGUGCAGUGACAAGCUGGGUUUAAGCCUUGAACUAGGUUCCUUUGCUGCUGGAGUGAUGAUAUCAACAACUGAUCUUGCUCAACAUACACUUGAACAAGUUGAACCCAUUCGCAACUUCUUUGCUGCACUUUUCCUUGCCAGCAUUGGGAUGCUUAUACAUGUUCAUUUCCUUUGGAAUCACAUUGAUAUUUUACUAGCAGCCGUUAUAUUGGUGAUUGUCAUAAAGACUCUUGUGGUUGCAACAGUAGUUAAAGGAUUUCGAUACAAUAACAAGACCUCACUACUUUUAUUCGAUAUUUGUAGGUUGGAAUGUCUCUGGCACAAAUUGGGGAAUUUGCUUUUGUUCUCUUAAGUCGUGCUUCCAAUGUUCAUCUAGUUGAGGGUAAGUUGUAUUUGCUGCUGCUGGGCACAACAGCUCUCAGCCUGGUGACUACACCUCCUUUCACAAAUCGGCAUUACUUUUCAAGUUGCUUCCUGCUGUUGUACAUCUUGGAGUGUUGUUGCGGUGGUUCUCCCCCGAUAUCCCAACCGAGAUUGGAUUUAAAGGAGAUAUCCUGCGGGCAGACAGUACUAAACGGAUUAGCGUGAUGGUCCAAGGCGCUCAUGAUUCAUGAUAGUAAAAUAUAGAAACACAAACCAGAAAAUGCAAAAAGUUCAGGCUUUACCUGACAUGCCUUUCUUAUACUCUGGAGGACAGACAGGUGGGCUAAGAGCACGAAUGAGGUUGACUGAAAAAACCUCUAUAUUCUCUGUAACAAGGCUCCUUGGUAUGUUGCCUACUCUUCUACUUGCAAAUUUCUGAUAUGCCCAACUCAGAUUAUGAAAUAGAGAGAGCAUAGUACAUAUGAUCCAUGCACUAACAUUUUUGUUAUAGGUCAUACCGUUACUCCCAAACGUCCUGUUUUGUGUAAAUUAGUGUCCAUUUUGUAAUGUAAUUCAUUUCAUUUUUUUUUCUUUACCUUUAAUUUUUUUUUUCCCUUCCCGUUUUUGAGAAAUGGAAAUGUGGUGCUGUAAUCAAAUUUUCCCAUGUAUCAAAUUUUUCUAGGGAUGCACUUGGUGCUGCAAUUCAUCA